rnacentral:rRNA from 1 species
GAUGAACGCUGGCGGCGUGCCUAAUACAUGCAAGUCGAGCGAACAGAUGAGGAGCUUGCUCCUCUGACGUUAGCGGCGGACGGGUGAGUAACACGUGGAUAACCUACCUAUAAGACUGGGAUAACUACGGGAAACCGGAGCUAAUACCGGAUAAUAUAUUGAACCGCAUGGUUCAAUAGUGAAAGACGGUUUUGCUGUCACUUAUAGAUGGAUCCGCGCCGCAUAGCUAGUUGGUAAGGUAACGGCUUACCAAGGCAACGAUGCGUAGCCGACCUGAGAGGGUGAUCGGCCACACUGGAACUGAGACACGGUCCAGACUCCUACGGGAGGCAGCAGUAGGGAAUCUUCCGCAAUGGGCGAAAGCCUGACGGAGCAACGCCGCGUGAGUGAUGAAGGUCUUCGGAUCGUAAAACGCUGUUAUUAGGGAAGAACAAAUGUGUAAGUAACUAUGCACGUCUUGACGGUACCUAAUCAGAAAGCCACGGCUAACUACGUG